CCUACGGGGGGCAGCAGUGGGGAAUAUUGGACAAUGGGGGGAACCCUGAUCCAGCCAUGCCGCGUGUGUGAAGAAGGCCCUCGGGUUGUAAAGCACUUUCAGUGAGGAAGAACGCCUGGUGGUUAAUACCCAUCAGGAAAGACAUCACUCACAGAAGAAGCACCGGCUAACUCCGUGCCAGCAGCCGCGGUAAUACGGAGGGUGCGAGCGUUAAUCGGAAUUACUGGGCGUAAAGCGCGCGUAGGUGGCUUGAUAAGCCGGUUGUGAAAGCCCCGGGCUCAACCUGGGAACGGCAUCCGGAACUGUCAAGCUAGAGUGCAGGAGAGGAAGGUAGAAUUCCCGGUGUAGCGGGGAAAUGCGUAGAGAUCGGGAGGAAUACCAGUGGCGAAGGCGGCCUUCUGGACUGACACUGACACUGAGGUGCGAAAGCGUGGGUAGCAAACAGGAUUAGAUACCCCGGUAGUC
rnacentral:rRNA from 1 species